AGGUGUCCGCUGAGAAAAGGGAUGCUCGGGGCCUAUGCCAUGGCUCCCCCCCGUCCAUCCAAGAUGGGCGGCCCAUGGCAUAGGCAGCCGCCCCCUCGUCGGGGUCGGACGUCGGUCGGGUGGUGUCCGACCGUCGGUGGCCGAUCGCCGGCGAGGGGCGGCCAGGUGGGAUGGUAGUGCUUUGUUGCUAUUUUUCGAGAGGCGAGGGACGGUGCACCUCGGAUUUCGAUUUUUCCAACGUAUUCAAAGGGGCAAUCGUGAUGACCCCAUGGCUUUGGCUUUCGGAUGAGCGUGCCAACGGAGAGUGCUGCGGCCGGGUAGKGAUUCGAGUUUUAACCUCUCGGGGGAGCGCAACGCUGUGUCUACUUUCUCGUCUGGCCGUCGAUGGAGAUUAUUCUCCAUCAUGUCCCGUCGGAAAAAAUGUUUUCAAAAAAACUCGGUCUGGUGGGCUAGUAGUGCUGCGUUGCUAUUUUUCGAGGGGAGAGGGACGGUACAUCUCGGAUUUUGAUUCCUUCCAACGUAUUCAAAGGGCAAUCGCGAGACCAUGGCUUCGGCUUUUGGACGAGCGUGCGAACGGAGAGUACACCGGUUGGGGUCAGGAUUCGAGUUUUAACCUCUCGGGGGAGCGCAACGCUGUGUCUACUUUCUCGUCUGGCCGUCGAUGGAGAUUUUUCAUUAUUCUCCAUCCUGUCCCGUCGGAAAAAAUCUUUUCUAAAAACUUGGCUCGAUAAAGUGAUUAUUCGUUAUGCUCCAUCCUGUCAAAACAUGCCAAAAAAAAUGCGGAAGAACUAGCAUGCUUAGGCUUGUGCUAACUUGAUGCAUCAAUCGGUUUGUUGCGGUGGGUUGGGCGUAAUGGAGAAUCGUUUGUUUUUGAAAAUGUUUUCCAAAUGUCCCGCAAACAACAAGGUUUUCGUCCCUCGGUCCGAUAAAGAGAUUAUUCGUUGUGCUCCAUCCUGUCAAAACAUGCCAAAAAAAAUGCGGAAGAACUAGCAUGCUUAGGCUUGUGCUAACUUGAUGCAUCAAUCGGUUUGUUGCGGUGGGUUGGGCGUAAUGGAGAAUCGUCGGUUAUUGAAAAUGUUUUCCAAAUGUCCCGCAAAGGUUUUCGUCCCUCGGAUAGUGUGUUCCCUCGCGUGAAGCGGUGCCGGUGUGGCCUUGCUCGAUGUUUCCGCAUGCUCAGCGGUUCUAGUAACCGUUGGGUUGUGGUUCGUUCGAUCGGGUCAUCAUCGGUCGUACGCAACUCACGUGUGAGUGGUGGUCGGAUGGCAUGGGUCUGCAAGCUCCUUGCUCAGCGCAACGAAUUGUAAGCUCUCCAUCCUUUUCAUAGUCUUCCCCGAGCAUGGUCAUUUGCCUCGCGGGCGAGAUCGGUAUCCUGUGUUUUCUACCAAUCGAACGGAAUGCGGCUGUUUUCGUGUUUCCUUAUCCGCCCGGUUCCCUUAGGGGCGUCGGGUGGACGGUAGGCUGACCUCGUGUUCCAGGUACACCUCGCACUCUCGUGCGGCGGUUACCAUGGCCCAUGGGGUUACGCUUGUUCCCUCGGAUGCGGAUCGUUAGCUGUGGGCGAGGGGCCACUACGGCCUCCAUUCGUCCAAGCUAUUAUUAAGCAUUUGUCAUUCGACACGGACGACGGCCGCGCUCGUCUUGGGGGCCUCUACGGUCGAACGGCCGUACGAGAAGGUCCAUGCGAGCGUCGGCGUCGUGAAGGAAUGC
rnacentral:misc_RNA from 1 species